UCGGGAAUAUUGCGCAAUGGAGGAAACUCUGACGCAGUGACGCCGCGUGCAGGAAGAAGGUUUUCGGAUUGUAAACUGCUUUAGACAGGGAAGAAAAAGACAGUACCUGUAGAAUAAGCUCCGGCUAACUACGUGCCAGCAGCCGCGGUAAUACGUAGGGAGCGAGCGUUAUCCGGAUUUAUUGGGUGUAAAGGGUGCGUAGACGGGAAGAUAAGUUAGUUGUGAAAUCCCUCGGCUCAACUGAGGAACUGCAACUAAAACUGUCAUUCUUGAGUACUGGAGAGGAAAGUGGAAUUCCUAGUGUAGCGGUGAAAUGCGUAGAUAUUAGGAGGAACACCAGUGGCGAAGGCGACUUUCUGGACAGAAACUGACGUUGAGGCACGAAAGUGUGGGGAGCAAACAGGAUUAGAUACC
rnacentral:rRNA from 1 species